rnacentral:rRNA from 1 species
GACGAACGCUGGCGGCGUGCCUAACACAUGCAAGUCGAACGGCAGCACGGGCUUCGGUCUGGUGGCGAGUGGCGAACGGGUGAGUAAUGUAUCGGAACGUACCUUAGAGUGGGGGAUAACGUAGCGAAAGUUACGCUAAUACCGCAUAUUCUGUGCGCAGGAAAGCAGGGGAUCGCAAGACCUUGUGCUCUUUGAGCGGCCGAUAUCAGAUUAGCUAGUUGGUGAGGUAAAAGCUCACCAAGGCGACGAUCUGUAGCGGGUCUGAGAGGAUGAUCCGCCACACUGGAACUGAGACACGGUCCAGACUCCUACGGGAGGCAGCAGUGGGGAAUUUUGGACAAUGGGGGCAGCCCUGAUCCAGCCAUGCCGCGUGAGUGAAGAAGGCCUUCGGGUUGUAAAGCCCUUUCAGCCGGGAAGAAAUCGUAUAGGUUAAUACCCUGUGCGGAUGACGGUACCGGAAUAAGAAGCACCGGCUAACUACGUGCCAGCAGCCGCCGUAACAC